rnacentral:rRNA from 1 species
CCUACGGGUGGCAGCAGUGAGGAAUAUUGGUCAAUGGGCGGGAGCCUGAACCAGCCAAGUCGCGUGAGGGACGACGGUCCUAUGGAUUGUAAACCUCUUUUGUCGGGGAACAAAGGCGCCCACGGGUGGGCGGAUGAGUGUACCCGAAGAAAAAGCAUCGGCUAACUCCGUGCCAGCAGCCGCGGUAAUACGGAGGAUGCGAGCGUUAUCCGGAUUUAUUGGGUUUAAAGGGUGCGUAGGCGGACAGUCAAGUCAGCGGUAAAAAUGCGGUGCUCAACGCCGUACAGCCGUUGAAACUGGCAGUCUUGAGUGUGUUUGAGGUAGGCGGAAUGCGUGGUGUAGCGGUGAAAUGCAUAGAUAUCACGCAGAACUCCGAUUGCGAAGGCAGCUUACUAAGCCAUAACUGACACUGAAGCACGAAAGCGUGGGGAUCAAACAGGAUUAGAUACCCCGGUAGUC